CGGAGGGUGCAGGCGUUAUCCGGAUUCACUGGGUUUAAAGGGUGCGUAGGAGGGCAGGUAAGUCAGUGGUGAAAUCUCCGAGCUUAACUUGGAAACUGCCGUUGAUACUAUCUGUCUUGAAUAUUGUGGAGGUGAGCGGAAUAUGUCAUGUAGCGGUGAAAUGCUUAGAUAUGACAUAGAACACCAAUUGCGAAGGCAGCUCGCUACACAUAUAUUGACUCUGAGGCACGAAAGCGUGGGGAUCAAACAGGAUUAGAUACCCUGGUAGUCCACGCCCUAAACGAUGGAUACUCGACAUACGCGAUACACAGUGUGUGUCUGAGCGAAAGCAUUAAGUAUCUCACCUGGGAAGUACGACCGCAAGGUUG
rnacentral:rRNA from 1 species